rnacentral:rRNA from 1 species
UACGUAGGGUGCAAGCGUUGUCCGGAAUUAUUGGGCGUAAAGAGCUCGUAGGCGGUCUGUCGCGUCUGCUGUGAAAACUCAGGGCUUAACCCUGAGCUUGCAGUGGGUACGGGCAGACUAGAGUGCGGUAGGGGAGACUGGAAUUCCUGGUGUAGCGGUGAAAUGCGCAGAUAUCAGGAGGAACACCGGUGGCGAAGGCGGAUCUCUGGGCCUGUUCUGACGCUGAGGCGCGAAAGCUAGGGGAGCGAACAGG